UUGUAACUGCAGAAACAAAGCCCAGGUUGCUACAUUAGAUGUGGUUGUAAAUGCAGAAAUGAAGCCCAGGUGGCUACAUUAGAUGUGGUUGUAAAUGCAGAAAUGAAGCCCAGGUUGCAAGAUGUGGUUGUAAAUGCAGAAAUGAAGCCCAGGUUGCUUCAUUAGCUGUGGUUGUAAAUACAGAAAUGAAGCCCAGGUUGCUUCAUUAGCUGUGGUUGUAAAUGCAGAAAUGAAGCCCUGGUUGUAAAUGCAGAAAUGAAGCC